AACGGUGAGUAAUAUAGUACGGAACGUUACCUUCAGGUGGGGAUAACGUAGACGAAAGUUACGCUAAUACCGCAUAUUCUGUGAGCAGGAAAGCGAGGGGAUCGCAAGACCUUGCGCUGAUUGAGCGGCCGAUAUCAGAUUAGCUAGUUGGUGAGGUAAAGGCUCACCAAGGCGACGAUCUGUAGCGGGUCUGAGAGGAUGAUCCGCCACACUGGAACUGAGACACGGUCCAGACUCCUACGGGAGGCAGCAGUGGGGAAUUUUUGGACAAUGGGCGCAAGCCUGAUCCAGCCAUGCCGCGUGAGUGAAGAAGGCCUUCGGGUUGUAAAGCUCUUUCGGCCGGGAAGAAAUCGCACAGGUUAAUACCCUGUGUGGAUGACGGUACCGGAAUAAGAAGCACCGGCUAACUACGUG
rnacentral:rRNA from 1 species